GAUUGAACGCUGGCGGCAGGCCUAACACAUGCAAGUCGAGCGGAAACGAGUUAUCUGAACCUUCGGGGAACGAUAACGGCGUCGAGCGGCGGACGGGUGAGUAAUGCCUAGGAAAUUGCCCUGAUGUGGGGGAUAACCAUUGGAAACGAUGGCUAAUACCGCAUGAUGCCUACGGGCCAAAGAGGGGGACCUUCGGGCCUCUCGCGUCAGGAUAUGCCUAGGUGGGAUUAGCUAGUUGGUGAGGUAAGGGCUCACCAAGGCGACGAUCCCUAGCUGGUCUGAGAGGAUGAUCAGCCACACUGGAACUGAGACACGGUCCAGACUCCUACGGGAGGCAGCAGUGGGGAAUAUUGCACAAUGGGCGCAAGCCUGAUGCAGCCAUGCCGCGUGUGUGAAGAAGGCCUUCGGGUUGUAAAGCACUUUCAGUCGUGAGGAAGGUAGUGUAGUUAAUAGCUGCAUUAUUUGACGUUAGCGACAGAAGAAGCACCGGCUAACUCCGUGCCAGCAGCCGCGGUAAUACGGAGGGUGCGAGCGUUAAUCGGAAUUACUGGGCGUAAAGCGCAUGCAGGUGGUUUGUUAAGUCAGAUGUGAAAGCCCGGGGCUCAACCUCGGAAUAGCAUUUGAAACUGGCAGACUAGAGUACUGUAGAGGGGGGUAGAAUUUCAGGUGUAGCGGUGAAAUGCGUAGAGAUCUGAAGGAAUACCGGUGGCGAAGGCGGCCCCCUGGACAGAUACUGACACUCAGAUGCGAAAGCGUGGGGAGCAAACAGGAUUAGAUACCCUGGUAGUCCACGCCGUAAACGAUGUCUACUUGGAGGUUGUGGCCUUGAGCCGUGGCUUUCGGAGCUAACGCGUUAAGUAGACCGCCUGGGGAGUACGGUCGCAAGAUUAAAACUCAAAUGAAUUGACGGGGGCCCGCACAAGCGGUGGAGCAUGUGGUUUAAUUCGAUGCAACGCGAAGAACCUUACCUACUCUUGACAUCCAGAGAACUUUCCAGAGAUGGAUUGGUGCCUUCGGGAACUCUGAGACAGGUGCUGCAUGGCUGUCGUCAGCUCGUGUUGUGAAAUGUUGGGUUAAGUCCCGCAACGAGCGCAACCCUUAUCCUUGUUUGCCAGCGAGUAAUGUCGGGAACUCCAGGGAGACUGCCGGUGAUAAACCGGAGGAAGGUGGGGACGACGUCAAGUCAUCAUGGCCCUUACGAGUAGGGCUACACACGUGCUACAAUGGCGCAUACAGAGGGCGGCCAACUUGCGAAAGUGAGCGAAUCCCAAAAAGUGCGUCGUAGUCCGGAUUGGAGUCUGCAACUCGACUCCAUGAAGUCGGAAUCGCUAGUAAUCGUGGAUCAGAAUGCCACGGUGAAUACGUUCCCGGGCCUUGUACACACCGCCCGUCACACCAUGGGAGUGGGCUGCAAAAGAAGUAGGUAGUUUAACCUUCGGGGGGACGCUUACCACUUUGUGGUUCAUGACUGG
rnacentral:rRNA from 1 species